AGGUUUGAGCAGUUAGGGUUCUCAGAAGGGC
rnacentral:piRNA from 1 species